rnacentral:rRNA from 1 species
GGGUUGUGAGGUUAAGCGACUAAGCGUACACGGUGGAUGCCCUGGCAGUCAGAGGCGAUGAAGGACGUGCUAAUCUGCGAAAAGCGCCGGCGAGGUGAUAUGAACCCUUGACCCGGCGAUGUCCGAAUGGGGAAACCCAGUGUGAUUCGUCACACUAUCGUUAACUGAAUACAUAGGUUAACGAGGCGAACCGGGGGAACUGAAACAUCUAAGUACCCCGAGGAAAAGAAAUCAACCGAGAUUCCCCCAGUAGCGGCGAGCGAACGGGGAGCAGCCCAGAGUCUGAAUCAGCUUGUGUGUUAGUGGAAGCGUCUGGAAAGUCGCACGGUACAGGGUGAUAGUCCCGUACACGAAAAUGCACAGGCUGUGAACUCGAAGAGUAGGGCGGGACACGUGGUAUCCUGUCUGAAUAUGGGGGGACCAUCCUCCAAGGCUAAAUACUCCUGACUGACCGAUAGUGAACCAGUACCGUGAGGGAAAGGCGAAAAGAACCCCGGCGAGGGGAGUGAAAAAGAACCUGAAACCGUGUACGUACAAGCAGUGGGAGCACCUUCGGGUGUGACUGCGUACCUUUUGUAUAAUGGGUCAGCGACUUAUAUUCUGUAGCAAGGUUAACCGUAUAGGGGAGCCGAAGGGAAACCGAGUCUUAACUGGGCGUUAAGUUGCAGGGUAUAGACCCGAAACCCGGUGAUCUAGCCAUGGGCAGGUUGAAGGUUGGGUAACACUAACUGGAGGACCGAACCGACUAAUGUUGAAAAAUUAGCGGAUGACCUGUGGCUGGGGGUGAAAGGCCAAUCAAACCGGGAGAUAGCUGGUUCUCCCCGAAAGCUAUUUAGGUAGCGCCUCGUGAACUCAUCUUCGGGGGUAGAGCACUGUUUCGGCUAGGGGGCCAUCCCGGCUUACCAACCCGAUGCAAACUACGAAUACCGAAGAAUGUUAUCACGGGAGACACACGGCGGGUGCUAACGUCCGUCGUGAAGAGGGAAACAACCCAGACCGCCAGCUAAGGUCCCAAAGUCAUGGUUAAGUGGGAAACGAUGUGGGAAGGCCCAGACAGCCAGGAUGUUGGCUUAGAAGCAGCCAUCAUUUAAAGAAAGCGUAAUAGCUCACUGGUCGAGUCGGCCUGCGCGGAAGAUGUAACGGGGCUAAACCAUGCACCGAAGCUGCGGCAGCGACACUAUGUGUUGUUGGGUAGGGGAGCGUUCUGUAAGCCGUUGAAGGUGGCCUGUGAGGGUUGCUGGAGGUAUCAGAAGUGCGAAUGCUGACAUAAGUAACGAUAAAGCGGGUGAAAAGCCCGCUCGCCGGAAGACCAAGGGUUCCUGUCCAACGUUAAUCGGGGCAGGGUGAGUCGACCCCUAAGGCGAGGCCGAAAGGCGUAGUCGAUGGGAAACAGGUUAAUAUUCCUGUACUUGGUGUUACUGCGAAGGGGGGACGGAGAAGGCUAUGUUAGCCGGGCGACGGUUGUCCCGGUUUAAGCAUGUAGGCGGAGGUUCCAGGUAAAUCCGGUACCUUUUAACGCUGAGGUGUGAUGACGAGGCACUACGGUGCUGAAGUAACAAAUGCCCUGCUUCCAGGAAAAGCCUCUAAGCAUCAGGUAACAUCAAAUCGUACCCCAAACCGACACAGGUGGUCAGGUAGAGAAUACCAAGGCGCUUGAGAGAACUCGGGUGAAGGAACUAGGCAAAAUGGUGCCGUAACUUCGGGAGAAGGCACGCUGAUAUGUAGGUGAAGCCCCUGCGGGUGGAGCUGAAAUCAGUCGAAGAUACCAGCUGGCUGCAACUGUUUAUUAAAAACACAGCACUGUGCAAACACGAAAGUGGACGUAUACGGUGUGACGCCUGCCCGGUGCCGGAAGGUUAAUUGAUGGGGUUAGCGGUAACGCGAAGCUCUUGAUCGAAGCCCCGGUAAACGGCGGCCGUAACUAUAACGGUCCUAAGGUAGCGAAAUUCCUUGUCGGGUAAGUUCCGACCUGCACGAAUGGCGUAAUGAUGGCCAGGCUGUCUCCACCCGAGACUCAGUGAAAUUGAACUCGCUGUGAAGAUGCAGUGUACCCGCGGCAAGACGGAAAGACCCCGUGAACCUUUACUAUAGCUUGACACUGAACACUGGUCCUUGAUGUGUAGGAUAGGUGGGAGGCUUUGAAGCGUGGACGCCAGUCUGCGUGGAGCCAUCCUUGAAAUACCACCCUUUAAUGGCUGGUGUUCUAACGUAGACCCGUAAUCCGGGUUGCGGACAGUGUCUGGUGGGUAGUUUGACUGGGGCGGUCUCCUCCCAAAGAGUAACGGAGGAGCACGAAGGUUAGCUAAUCCUGGUCGGACAUCAGGAGGUUAGUGCAAUGGCAUAAGCUAGCUUGACUGCGAGAGUGACGGCUCGAGCAGGUGCGAAAGCAGGUCAUAGUGAUCCGGUGGUUCUGAAUGGAAGGGCCAUCGCUCAACGGAUAAAAGGUACUCCGGGGAUAACAGGCUGAUACCGCCCAAGAGUUCAUAUCGACGGCGGUGUUUGGCACCUCGAUGUCGGCUCAUCACAUCCUGGGGCUGAAGUAGGUCCCAAGGGUAUGGCUGUUCGCCAUUUAAAGUGGUACGCGAGCUGGGUUUAGAACGUCGUGAGACAGUUCGGUCCCUAUCUGCCGUGGGCGCUGGAGAAUUGAGGGGGGCUGCUCCUAGUACGAGAGGACCGGAGUGGACGCAUCACUGGUGUUCGGGUUGUCAUGCCAAUGGCACUGCCCGGUAGCUAAAUGCGGAAGAGAUAAGUGCUGAAAGCAUCUAAGCACGAAACUUGCCCCGAGAUGAGUUCUCCCUGAGACUUAAAGUCUCCUGAAGGAACGUUGAAGACGACGACGUUGAUAGGUCGGGUGUGUAAGCGCAGCGAUG